GUGCUUGCUUCAGCAGCACAUAUAUUGAAAUUGGAAUGAUAUGGAGAAGGUUAGCAUUGGCUCCUGCUGAAGGAUGACAUGCAAAUUCAUAAAGUGUUCCAUAUUUUU
rfam:Canis lupus familiaris chromosome 14, whole genome shotgun sequence.